CCCUCACUCUCUCGGCUCCAGCCGACUG
rnacentral:piRNA from 1 species